GCGAGAGCAAUUUGCACACCCAACAGCAGCAUAGCCUGACCUCAAACUUCUUUUCUUUGUAGGAAGCCCUGUAGCAGUCCCGGAGUGAUGGGACUCCCUGCCUGGCCUGAGAUACCCAGUUAGCACCUGCGAAUCAGAAUUUCCUCUUCGCAGCAAUAAAGCAUCCAGCCUUUGCAUCUGUGACAGCCUCCCCUGUAAUUUAUGCAUUCUAUGGAAUCUUUCCUGGUGAUUCAAGAUAGGACUCUGUCACAUGUGCUGCCAGGACCCUUUGUCUCAGGACCAAGAGAAAGAGACAGGGAAGCUAUCACAACUUUGUAGAGUGGUUCCUCGACUCCAUUUAAAGACUAACUUCAGCUUUAAAAUGGGCAGUUCCUGAAUCCAAGCUCCUUUGAGGGAAAAAUGACAGAUCUCCUCAACAUUCACAAUUUGUAUGCCCUGGUGUGGCUUAGAAGUAAAAAGUCUACCUGCAGUGCAAGAGACCCAGGUUUAACCCCUGUGUUGGGAAAAUCCGCUGGAGAAGGGAAUGGCAACCCACUCCAGUAUUCUUGCCUGGAGAAUCCCAUGGACAGAGGAGCCUGGCAAGCUACAGCCCACGGGGUCACAAGGAGUCGGACAUGACUGAGUGAGUUUACUUCACUUCACAGAGAGAAAAAAGUAAGAGAAAGAUGUUUUUUUAAAAUAUUGUUGUAAAAGAUACAACUUAUAAGUUAUAAAUUCUAGAAUUUUAUGAAUGGUGAACUCAUAGAUGAAAAAGAGUGUUAGGCAUUUUGGCUGCAGGAAACAGUUACCUUAGUAAUGGAAGUUUCUAGAAAGGGCAUAUGAGAAAAUAGAGAAGAGAGUAUUCUCACAGGAAUCGAAGAACAUCCAUUACCCGAGAUCCCACAUAGUCCUGAGCACUAGUGUUAUAUCUGUUGUCUCUGUAGGAGCAAGAAUUUAUAGAUCUAUGCUCUGAUACCAUUAAUAAGGCUCUAUUAUUCUGUGUUUAUACUUCUCAUUGUGUCCUUUAUAAUUUCUCUUCCCACUAUUUGGAGAUCCAAAGUGAUGAAGACCAUAGAUUCUACAAUUAAAA
rnacentral:lncRNA from 1 species